rnacentral:rRNA from 1 species
AUUGAACGCUGGCGGCAGGCCUAACACAUGCAAGUCGAACGGUAACAGGAAGAAGCUUGCUUCUUUGCUGACGAGUGGCGGACGGGUGAGUAAUGUCUGGGAAACUGCCUGAUGGAGGGGGAUAACUACUGGAAACGGUAGCUAAUACCGCAUAACGUCGCAAGACCAAAGAGGGGGACCUUCGGGCCUCUUGCCAUCGGAUGUGCCCAGAUGGGAUUAGCUAGUAGGUGGGGUAACGGCUCACCUAGGCGACGAUCCCUAGCUGGUCUGAGUGGAUGACCAGCCACACUGGAACUGGGACACGGUCCAGACUCCUACGGGAGGCAGCAGUGGGGAAUAUUGCACAAUGGGCGCAAGCCUGAUGCAGCCAUGCCGCGUGUAUGAAGAAGGCCUUCGGGUUGUAAAGUACUUUCAGCGGGGAGGAAGGGAGUGAAGUUAAUACCUUUGCUCAUUGACGUUACCCGCAGAAGAAGCACCGGCUAACUCCGUGCCAGCAGCCGCGGAUAUACGGAGGGUGCAAGCGUUAUUCGGAAUUACUGGGCGUAAAGCGCACGGCAGGCGGUUUGUUAAAUCAAAUGUGCAAUCCCCCGGGCUCAACCUGGGAACUGCAUCCUGAUACUGGCAAAGCUUUGAAUCUCGUAGAAGGGGGGGUAAAAUUCCAGGUGUAGCGGUAAAUGCCGUAGAGAUCUGGAGGAAUACCGGUGGCGAAGGCGGCCCCCUGGACGCA